rnacentral:rRNA from 2 species
UUGACGGGACCCGCACAAGCAGCGAGCAUGUGGUUAAUUCGAAGCAACGCGAAGAACCUUACCAGGCUUGACAUCCCUCUGACCGGACCGUAAUGGGUCCUUCCCUUCGGGGCAGAGGAGACAGGUGGUGCAUGGUUGUCGUCAGCUCGUGUCGUGAGAUGUUGGGUUAAGUCCCGCAACGAGCGCAACCCUUGUCAUUAGUUGCCAGCAGUUCGGCUGGGCACUCUAGUGAGACUGCCGGGGAUAACUCGGAGGAAGUGGGAUGACGUCAAAUCAUCAUGCCCCUUAUGUUCUGGGCUACACACGUGCUACAAUGGCUGGUACAAAGAGAAGCAAGACGGUGACGUGGAGCAAAUCUCAAAAACCAGUCCCAGUUCGGAUUGUAGGCUGCAACUCGCCUACAUGAAGUUGGAGUUGCUAGUAAUCGCGAAUCAGAAUGUCGCGGUGAAUGCGUUCCCGGGUCUU